rnacentral:rRNA from 1 species
UACGUAGGGACCAAGCGUUGUCCGGAAUCAUUGGGCGUAAAGCGCGUGUAGGCGGCUCGGUAAGUCCGGUGUGAAACCUUGGGGCUCAACCCCAAGCCUGCACUGGAUACUGUCGAGCUCGAGUCCGGGAGGGGAGAGCGGAAUUCCUAGUGUAGCGGUGAAAUGCGCAGAUAUUAGGAAGAACACCAGUGGCGAAGGCGGCUCACUGGUCCGGUACUGACGCUGAGGUGCGAAAGCGUGGGGAGCAAACAGG